UGUAUUAUGGUAUAUUAAGUGUGUACAUGUAUCUAAUAGCUGUGUAUAGAAAAUAUUAACUGUGUACUAUGUUGUAUUCAUUGUGUAUUGUGGUAGAUUAAGCAUGUACACGCAUCUAAUAAGUGUGUACUGGAGGAUAUUAACUGUGUACUGCGUUAUAUUAACUAUGUACUGCGGUAUAUUAAGUGUAUCCACAUAUCUAGUAACCGAUAAGCUUGUUUCUUUUUUGUAGGAUGGGGUAAUUGAUAGAUAAAGACAAAGAAUGUUCUUAACUUGUUAAUAGAUAAAGACAAUAUUUUAAAUGAAAUUUUCUUUGAUUUGUGAAGGUCGCUUUGCUUGAUCUUGUUACAAUUUCAUCAAGCUGGGCACAAGUAAUUGAUGUCAUGGAGAGUGAGGUAUUUAUGCAAAUAAAGUGCAAUCAAGUAUUUACAAUCACAUUUAUAAUCUUUAAUUUCAAUUAGUGUUCAAUCAGGCUCAUGAUUGGGUUGCUUCAUUGGUGCUGGCGUUACACCUGAUUGGCUCUUGGGCUCAUUGUUUGCAGCAAGCAUGCCUUGGUUAGGAUCAUGCAUGCGUAUAUCUUUUAGAAGAAAAAUAGUGUUCGUUAUACCAAU
rnacentral:lncRNA from 1 species